CUGCGAUGAUGGCACCUCUUAGGACACCUUUGGAUUCACUGUGAAAACAGCGGUUCUCUGAGCAGC
ensembl:snoRNA SNORD58 Small nucleolar RNA SNORD58